rnacentral:rRNA from 1 species
UACGGGGGGGGCAAGCGUUGUUCGGAAUUAUUGGGCGUAAAGAGCUCGUAGGCGGCCUGUCGCGUCCGCUGUGAAAGCCCCGGGCUCAACCUGGGAAUGGCAUUUGGGACUGCAAGGCUUGAGUGCGGCAGAGGAGACUGGAAUUCCUGGUGUAGCAGUGAAAUGCGUAGAUAUCAGGAGGAAUACCGAUGGCGAAGGCAGGUCUCUGGGCUGACACUGACGCUCAUGCACGAAAGCGUGGGGAGCAAACAGG